GAAUGCUGACAUAAGUAACGAUAAAGCGGGUGAAAAGCCCGCUCGCCGGAAGACCAAGGGUUCCUGUCCAACGUUAAUCGGGGCAGGGUGAGUCGACCCCUAAGGCGAGGCCGAAAGGCGUAGUCGAUGGGAAACAGGUUAAUAUUCCUGUACUUGGUGUUACUGCGAAGGGGGGACGGAGAAGGCUAUGUUGGCCGGGCGACGGUUGUCCCGGUUUAAGCGUGUAGGCUGGUUUUCCAGGCAAAUCCGGAAAACCAAGGCUGAGGCGUGAUGACGAGGCACUACGGUGCUGAAGCGACAAAUGCCCUGCUUCCAGGAAAAGCCUCUAAGCAUCAGGUAACAUCAAAUCGUACCCCAAACCGACACAGGUGGUCAGGUAGAGAAUACCAAGGCGCUUGAGAGAACUCGGGUGAAGGAACUAGGCAAAAUGGUGCCGU
rnacentral:rRNA from 1 species